rnacentral:rRNA from 1 species
UACGGGGGGGGCAAGCGUUGUUCGGAAUUACUGGGCGUAAAGGGCUCGUAGGUGGCCAACUAAGUCAGACGUGAAAUCCCUCGGCUUAACCGGGGAACUGCGUCUGAUACUGGAUGGCUAGAGUUUGGGAGAGGGAUGCGGAAUUCCAGGUGUAGCGGUGAAAUGCGUAGAUAUCUGGAGGAACACCGGUGGCGAAGGCGGCAUCCUGGACGAACACUGACGCUGAGGAGCGAAAGCCAGGGGAGCAAACGGG